ACGGGGUGCAGCAGGCGCGAAAACUUCACACUGUGCGGAAGCGCGAUGAGGGAAUCCCAAGUGUUUGCUCGUAAGAGUAAACUGUUUCUUUGUUUAAAACGCAGAGAGAGUAAGGGCUGGGUAAGACGGGUGCCAGCCGCCGCGGUAAUACCUGCAGCUCAAGUGGUGAUCAUUAUUAUUGGGCCUAAAACGUCCGUAGCCGGUUUAGUAAAUGCCUGGGUAAAUCGUGUAGCUUAACUAUACGACUUCCGGGUAGACUGCUAAACUUGAGACCGGGAGAGGCUAGAGGUACUCCUGGGGUAGAGGUGAAAUUCUGUAAUCCUAGGGGGACCACCAGUGGCGAAGGCGUCUAGCUAGAACGGGUCUGACGGUGAGGGACGAAGCCCUGGGGCACAAACCGGAUUAGAUACCCGGGUAGUCCAGGGUGUAAACGCUGCUUGCUUGAUGUUAGUUGGGCUCCGAGCCCAACUAGUGUCGGAGAGAAGUUGUUAAGCAAGCUGCCUGGAAGUACGUCGCAAGGC
rnacentral:rRNA from 1 species